CACCAGUCAGUGCCCAGCUCUCCUGCUCUUUGGGUUUCUGUGCUGCAGUGGGAGCUGCCGUAGUGGUGCUCCCGUCUGAGCUGUCGUGGUUUGAGUGCUGGCUGAGGCUCUGGGCUGUGGGUGUCACUGCUGUCUUCCAGUCCACUGUCCUGCUCCCGGGCCUGCUGACAACCAGCUGUUGAAGGUGUGUCUAAACAGGAGGGAUCAGGAAGAAGCAGCAGCAGCAGCAGACUGGGAGUCAGAGUCAGAGUUGGGUUCGAGUGACAGUCCCUUCACCUAAUGAUUAGAUGCUUUCACUGCCCCAGAUGAGCCCACAUUAAGAGACGAUCCCGACUUGUGGUGUCCAAGAUUAUCACAUAUUGAUGGAAAUAUCCAGACUCUGACUAUGGUUCCCCAGUGAAGCUGGUUUCACAGUCAAAACCUACAUGAAGAUGAGAGGGAGCACUGUGGGGAUUGGCUGGCCCUAUGCUCCAUAUUCACAGAAGCAGGAUGAGGCUGGGAAGCCUGCUGAGAAAAUGGUGUUGUAAUCAGGAGCCGGCAGUUCUGCCUGAUCAGCUUACUAUGACCUGGACGACUGAGGAUUUGCACGGACACACCACAAAAAGAGACAGUCGGUGGGCCUUGCUCAUAUGUAGGAGGGUGGGGGGGCCUUUAGAUGUUUGUAACCAGUGGCCCAUUGUCUCAAUCAGUUUAUGCUGAUCAGGUGAGACUUCAUGUACGUGUAAAGAUUCCCACCUACUACAGCUUAUAACUCCUGGGGUCUUUUGUUCCCCCAGCUGGGGGCCAUUAGCCUGAGGACCUUGUCAACAGCCACCAGGGAGCAACCAGUGUUUGGGAAGGCGAGUGUCUAUUCAGUCGUUAAGGGAAUGACCAU